rnacentral:rRNA from 1 species
UCGCCUGUUUAACAAAAACAUGUCCUAUUGAUUAUUAUUUAUUUUAGGUCUGGCCUGCUCAAUGAUUAGUGAUUAUUAAAUUAAAUGGCCGCAGUAUUUUGACUGUGCGAAGGUAGCAUAAUCAUUUGUCUUUUAAUUGAAGGCUUGUAUGAAUGGUUUGAUGAGAUACAUACUUUCUUCAUAUCAUAAUAUUGAAUUUAAUAUUUGAGUUAAAAAGCUUAAAUGUUUUUGUAGGACGAGAAGACCCUAUAGAAUUUUAUUAUUUAUUUAUAUUUUAUUUAUUUUGGUAUAUUUAUUUAUCUGGGAUAUUUAUAGAUUAUUUUGUUGGGGCGACAGGGAAAUUUUAAUAACUUUCUUUAUUUAUAUUUUAUUUAUUUAUAUUUUACUGAUCCUUGAUUAGGAUAACAAGAUUAAAUUACCUUAGGGAUAACAGCGUAAU